CCUACGGGAGGCAGCAGUGGGGAAUAUUGGACAAUGGGGGGAACCCUGAUCCAGCCAUGCCGCGUGUGUGAAGAAGGCCCUCGGGUUGUAAAGCACUUUCAGUGAGGAAGAACGCCUGGUGGUUUAUACCCAUCAGGAAAGACAUCACUCACAGAAGAAGCACCGGCUAACUCCGUGCCAGCAGCCGCGGUAAUACGGAGGGUGCGAGCGUUAAUCGGAAUUACUGGGCGUAAAGCGCGCGUAGGUGGCUUGAUAAGCCGGUUGUGAAAGCCCCGGGCUCAACCUGGGAACGGCAUCCGGAACUGUCAAGCUAGAGUGCAGGAGAGGAAGGUAGAAUUCCCGGUGUAGCGGUGAAAUGCGUAGAGAUCGGGAGGAAUACCAGUGGCGAAGGCGGCCUUCUGGACUGACACUGACACUGAGGUGCGAAAGCGUGGGUAGCAAACAGGAUUAGAUACCCCGGUAGUC
rnacentral:rRNA from 1 species